rnacentral:tRNA from 1 species
GCUCUGGUGGCUCAAUCGGAUAGAGCGUUGGACUUCUAAUCCAAAGGUUGCGGGUUCAAGUCUCGCCCAGAGUA